GAUGAACGCUGGCGGCGUGCCUAAUACAUGCAAGUCGAGCGAACAGACGAGGAGCUUGCUCCUCUGACGUUAGCGGCGGACGGGUGAGUAACACGUGGAUAACCUACCUAUAAGACUGGGAUAACUUCGGGAAACCGGCGCUAAUACCGGAUAAUAUAUUGAACCGCAUGGUUCAAUAGUGAAAGACGGUUUUGCUGUCACUUAUAGAUGGAUCCGCGCCGCAUUAGCUAGUUGGUAAGGUAACGGCUUACCAAGGCAACGAUGCGUAGACGACCUGAGAGGGUGAUCGCCCACACUGGAACUGAGACACGGUCCAGACUCCUACGGGAGGCAGCAGUAGGGAAUCUUCCGCAAUGGGCGAAAGCAUGACGGAGCAACGCCGCGUGAGUGAUGAAGGUCUUCGGAUCGUAAAACUCUGUUAUUAGGGAAGAACAAAUGUGUAAGUAACUAUGCACGUCUUGACGGUACCUAAUCAGAAAGCCACGGCUAACUACGUG
rnacentral:rRNA from 1 species